UUCGCCCCAAUGAAGGACGCGGGGCAGCACAGACAACCACAAGGCUGCCUGUCUCUGGGGCUGGUGCUGGCUGGUGUCAACUAAGAUACGAAACAGAGCUGAUCUCAUCAACCGAGGUAUCGGGGGACGUGGCCGCGGUGAUGGCAGGUGUGGGAACCACUCGGCUAAAAAGACAGGGAGAGAGGAGAGAGGACGCCGGCGGCAGGUGCAGCUGCUGGAGCAUGAGGGUGCACUGAGCCACCGCACCGCACCGAGGAG